CCUACGGGAGGCAGCAGUCGAGAAUCAUUCACAAUGGGGGAAACCCUGAUGGUGCGACGCCGCGUGGGGGAAUGAAGGUCUUCGGAUUGUAAACCCCUGUCAUGUGGGAGAAAAUUAAAAAGAUAGUACCACAAGAGGAAGAGACGGCUAACUCUGUGCAAGCAGCCGCGGUAAUACAGAGGUCUCAAGCGUUGUUCGGAAUCACUGGGCGUAAAGCGUGCGUAGGCUGUUUCGUAAGUCGUGUGUGAAAGGCGAGGGCUCAACCCGCGGACGGCACAUGAUACUGCGAGACUAGAGUAAUGGAGGGUGAACCGGAAUUCUCGGUGUAGCAGUGAAAUGCGUAGAUAUCGAGAGGAACACUCGUGGCGAAGGCGGGUUCCUGGACAUUAACUGACGCUGAGGCACGAAGGCCAGGGGAGCGAAAGGGAUUAGAUACCCGAUAGUC
rnacentral:rRNA from 1 species